rnacentral:misc_RNA from 1 species
ACUUCAUCUUUUACAUUGAUGAUAGUCUCUACUUUCUGAUUUCGUUUGGAACUUAGUUAAGGCUUACAAUUGUUCUUUUCUUAGAUUAGAUCAUGAAUUUACAUUAAUGGAUGCUUCAUGGGAGGCCCUUUACCAAGAAAAUAACAUUUUUAAGAGCAUUUUGUUUGCCUUCCAAGAAGCCUAAGUACCCACUUGGAAAGUGCUAAUGCAUAAAUAAGGCCUAAUUAAUCUUUAGCUUUGUAUAAAAUACCAAUUCUGUGCAAUGCAUACAACUUGAGGUCGUAAAUGAAUUUCACACUCCAACAUGUACUUGAUGGUUCGCCUUCGCACCUUUCUCACCCACUAUAUAAACAGAUUUAUUAUAGCUCUUUAAGCCAAUAAAUGCAUAACAGAAGCUUUUUGGUGUAGAAAUGGUAAGCCUUAUUGUUAGAUUUGUAUGCUUCUGUGAAGCUUCUUAAAUGUUGGAAGAAGUAGAAAUUCUAACCAUUUCUUUUAAGUUUAGGAUAAUGAAUGGAGAUGGCAAGGCAAAACCAAAAAAUAGUGAAAAAUGAAUCCUUUGGUUGGCCAGUGGACGUGGUCUUUACACUACAAAUCUUUUUUUGAGUCUCAACUAUUUAAAUGUACUUUUCUUGAAUAUAAAUUUUUUAGUUUCAAUGUGGAUACUAUGUCUUAGAUGACAUCAAUAAGAUGAACUUUAACAUAAUGCGUGAAAGCAGAUUUCACUUCACGGCAACAAGGAAAAAAAUUUUAAAAAUGCCUAGAAGUUGAUUGCUUUCUAUUAAGUGUGCACACAUCAACCUCCUAUUUAUAUUAUGCACGGACUUUGAGUUGUCUCUGUAGAUAACUCUGUUCAUUGAGCUGUGCGAGUGGUCAUGUGUAUCUUAAGGACAUCCAGGUGAUAAAUUUUAUCUGAAAGUUGUUGCUGCAAUAUUGCACUGCAUCUAACUUUCCUCUUCUUUUUGGACAUAGUACUUAAUGAAAGUUCCCUUUCAAAAUUGCUUUUACAUCAUAUUAUGCAGCUUGAUCUUAUUCUACUUACUCUGUUAGGUUGCCCUGUGUCUUUAUAUGGUAAAUUGAAAGUGCCUUUCUGACUCAAGGAAGAGCUGCACUACUAAUAACGAAGUAAAGAAUAUGUUACAUAUAUCAGAAGGUUAUUGCAAUGGUCUCAUUUAGGUAAAAACUUUCCACCUGGGAAGCAGUGCCUUAGGAGAACCAGUCUGUCUAAAAAAUUUUUAAACUUUCAGGUGAACAAAAAGAUGUGCUAUUUGGGUUGUUCAGGAAGUUAAAACUCAAAUGUUAGUUUGUUACUAUUAAAUGUGACCAGUACUUGAUUGUGACAUGCACACUAUUUUUAACAGAUGAAGCACUUAGGACCGAUAACAUCAUUAGCAAUCAACAUUUCUGAUGACACCCUAUAUUCAGCUUCCCUUGAUAAAACAGUGAAAGUAUGGAGAUUAUCAGACCUUAAAUGCAUUGAGACCAUCCAAGCUCAUCCCGAGCCAAUCAACGCUAUUGUUGUGGCUGAUGAUGGAGUACUCUACACUGCUUCUGAUGACGCCACUGUCAGAGUCUGGCGUCGAAACUUUUGCAUUGGGGAUGGGCCACAUUCUCUCAUCACAACCCUGCCUGCCAAGUUCUCACCUGUAAAGACCUUGACCCUGACCAUAGAUAACAGAGUCCUGUAUGGUGGAUGCACGGAUGGGUACAUUCAUUACUGGCUUAGGGGUGGGUUCUCUGGCCAAUUACAAUAUGGUGGUGCACUCCAGGGUCACACGCAUGCAGUUAUGUGCAUAAGCAAUGUGGGAAGCUAUGUGAUCAGUGGCUCAGCCGAUUCAACUGGCAGGGUUUGGCUGAGAGAAUUGGAUGGGCAACAUACAUGCCUGGCAGUUUUAGUAGGGCACAGAGGACCUGUUAGGUGUGUAUCAGCAUUUUUGGGGCGAUUAGGGGAGGAUAACGAAGAAGAAUGCACAGUUUGCACAGGUAGUCUUGACGGAGUCAUAAAACUGUGGCGGGUGUCGCGUGCCAACAAGGAUAGUGGCCCUUUAUCACCCACUGGUUAUGAGCAUUUUGAGCUGCAAUAGGGAAUUAUGAAAUUUAGUUUUAUUUUGUUUUUCAAAUGUACAGUAUUAACCAUUUGAGAAUUGUAUUUGAGAGAGAUCAAGCUCUUGGGUAUUAAUUGAUUAUUGUAGUCUUGUUUUAGUGUUAGUGCAAGUUGGUAAAUAUACACAACAAUAAUUAUUAAAGAGUUAGGCCUGUUUGGCAUUACUUUUA